AGGCAUUAAUAAGAGAACGGUUAGCCAGGCAAUUUAACCCUUUCGCAACGCUGAGUCAGCACUAUCGAUGGCUCAACGCUGAGUCAGCACCACUCAACACUGUAGUCCAGAGGCUAAUGGGAUCUCUCAGAUCUACUAUUGUGCUGGACUUCUCUUAAAUUGUGAGGGACAAUCUUGCCGGAGUGGUUCCCAGUGUCUCCUAAGCAGAUCAUGUGUACAUGUUUACACACAGUGCAAUGGAUAGUGGCAUCUAGACAGAUCCUAUGUGACUGUUUCCCUUUCUCCAACUUUCUGAACCGCUCGAAUAUCUUGUCUCUGGCUAGUUUAAGGAGGGUUGUAACCAGGUAAUCAAUCCGUCUAUUUUGCUUGUGCUGAAGGUAAACAACUUUCAGAGUUCGAUGAAAAGUCUCUAAGUGCAUGUUGGUGUUCACUGUGGUGUGACACCUGUAUGCAUAAGCCCAUUGAUCUAAGCGAGUUGUAUAGUGCAUCUGAAAGUAAGAGAAGAACUUCUUUUGUUUUUGACUAACUUCUGUAAUGAAGUGUUGGAGGCAUAAACGAAAUUUUGAUUUAUCUAGCUCUGUAAGGAGUAAACGGAGCUGAUGGUAAAUUUCUAUUUGAUCACUCCUAUUGGGUACAUACUCUUGGAGUGCAUGACGCCAAGCUCUGUCUAUAUGCCAUGUACAGAGUAGCUUUUUGGUUUGGUUGUCUCCAAAUACAGCUCUCCAUGCAGUAAAGAACUGUUCUGCGUCGUCGGACAUAAACCAUUGAGGAGAGAUGUCCCCUGUUUUCUCUUUAACAGCCUUGAAAAAUUCCACAAGAAUCAAAGAGUCUUGCCGGUUUGAAAUCAUCCAUGCAACAGGUACUCCUUCAUUGUACUCGUCCAGGACGAGUAAGGUUAACAAAUUAAAGUCGUACAUGUUUGUACCAUGAGUAGUGUCGAUACACAUAGUUAAAGAACCAAACUGCCUCAUCAUGUCCCUUUGAAAUUCAGUUUGAAUUCCUAUAAUAAAAUCGUUAUCACUAACAUUGUCUAUUUUAUGACCUUGCUUUAGUCCUUGUUGCUUGAAGAUUAUUACUGGGUUGUGGGUUAGUGUUGACAUUUCUAGUACCCAUGCUGUUAAGCUAGUUAAGUCGUUGGCAUGUCUCAUAAUGCCCUCAAUGUUGUAUUGAUUCUUAAUGUUAUGCAGGUCUUGCUUCGUGACUAAGUGCUCUCUGUGUAGCUUACCAGGUACUGAGUCAUAGAUGUCGUCAAGAAUGCGCUCUAUUGGGGUACCCUGGUAUAGUUUACCAGCCAUCUCCAUUCGCUUGGAAGUAGAAAUUCAUCAAAAGUAUGAAAAUUGGCUUCGUUCACUUCCAUGUUCAUAUUGUGGCUCAAUUGUAAAUGAGCUAUAAGAUCAGCGAUUGUCUUCAAUCUACACGAAGAACAUGUCUGCUAGUGGCCGUUUCUUGAGUGUGGCCAAUGAGUUGCUCGACAAUACUGGAGCCAAAGACAAUUGCCGGUACACAUCGUCAAGGUAUCUCAGAAGCUCUACUGUGCACGUCUUGCCUGUAUGUAUGGAUUCGUUGCUACGGCAGGACAUUCAUAGUUAUAAUUAAUUAUACGGACUAUAUACACAAGACUUAAUAAUGUCCUUAUUUAUUGUGUUACCUGAAUUACACAGCGUGCACUCUUCUUCGUUAUGAUUCUCUGCAAUAUGCCUCA